GCCUGGCUGGUUCAUUCAGUUAGGGCAUGUGACUCUUGAUCUUGGGGUUGUGAGUUUGAACCCCACGUUGGGCA
rnacentral:tRNA from 1 species